CUAAGAAUCUUCCACAAUGGACGGAAGUCUGAUGGAGCGACGCCGCGUGGACGAUGAAGGCCGUGAGGUUGUAAAGUCCUUUUCGGGAGGGGGAAUAACCUGGGGAGGGAAUGCCCCGGGGAUGACGUGAAUCCCGGAAUAAGCCCCGGCUAACUACGUGCCAGCAGCCGCGGUAAUACGUAGGGGGCGAGCGUUGUUCGGAAUCAUUGGGCGUAAAGGGUGCGCAGGUGGCCUUUCAAGUCUGGCGUUAAAGUUCGGGGCUCAACUCCGUGAUGCGCUGGAAACUGGAGGGCUAGAGUACAGCAGGGGGCAUCGGAAUUCCAGGUGUAGGGGUGAAAUCUGUAGAUAUCUGGAAGAACACCGGUGGCGAAGGCGGAUGCCUGGGCAUGUACUGACACUGAGGCACGAAGGUGC
rnacentral:rRNA from 1 species